rnacentral:rRNA from 1 species
GACGAACGCUGGCGGCGCGCCUAACACAUGCAAGUCGAACGAACGAGCGAGGGCUUUCUUUCUCAAGCGAGUGGCGAACGGGUGAGUAACGCGUGAGGAACCUGCCUCUAAGAGGGGGAUAACAGUUGGAAACGACGGCUAAUACCGCAUAAGCCCACAUGUCGCCAGGGGCGAGAUGGAAAAGGAGCGAUUCGCGUUGAGAUGGCCUCGCUUCCGAGUAUCUUGUUGGUGAGGUGACGGCACACCAAGGCAACGGGCGGUAGCCGGACUGGGAGGCUGAGCGGACACUAUGGGGCUGAGACACGGCCCGGACUCCUACGGAAGGGAGCAGAGGGGAAUAUUGCACAAUGGAGCAAGACCUGAUGCAGCGACGCCGGGUGGAGGAAGCAGGUCGUCGGAUUGUACACUCCUGUUGUUGAGGAAGAUAAUGACGGUACUCAAUAAGGAAGCGACGGCUAACUACGUG